UCCUAAAACUGAUCCGAAUAAGCGAUUUUCCCAAGUUACCAAACCGCAGUGGAAGUCCUAAAACUGAUCCGAAUAACCAAACAGUAACAGUUAGGGGGGGGGGGAAGCAAGCUAAGGUUCCGGAAAGUGACCGUAAAAGCAGAAUUAUUAGGGCCGGAAGCCGCACCCGGCCAUGCCUCUGCCUGAGCCUGUCUUGAAUUUUUU
rnacentral:lncRNA from 1 species